GUGAGGAAUAUUGCGCAAUGGGGGAAACCCUGACGCAGCAACGCCGCGUGGGUGAAGAAGGCUUUCGGGUUGUAAAGCCCUGUCAGGCGGGAAGAACCUCCUUUGGGUGAAUAGUCCAGAGGACUGACGGUACCGCCAAAGGAAGCACCGGCUAACUCCGUGCCAGCAGCCGCGGUAAGACGGAGGGUGCAAGCGUUGUUCGGAAUUACUGGGCGUAAAGCGCGUGUAGGCGGUCCGAUAAGUCGAGUGUGAAAGCCCGAGGCUCAACCUCGGAAGGGCAUUCGAAACUGUCGGGCUUGAGUACGGGAGAGGGAAGUGGAAUUCCUGGUGUAGAGGUGAAAUUCGUAGAUAUCAGGAGGAACACCGGUGGCGAAGGCGGCUUCCUGGACCGAUACUGACGCUGAGACGCGAAAGCGUGGGGAGCAAACAGGAUUAGAUACCCCAGUAGUCC
rnacentral:rRNA from 1 species